rnacentral:rRNA from 1 species
UUACGGGAGGCAGCAGUGGGGAAUUGUUCGCAAUGGGCGCAAGCCUGACGACGCAAUGCCGCGUGGAGGAUGAAGAUCUUCGGAUCGUAAACUCCUGUCGAGCGGGACGAACGGUCCGGGUCCUAACAGGGCCCGGAAGUGACGGUACCGCUAAAGGAAGCCCCGGCUAACUCCGUGCCAGCAGCCGCGGUAAUACGGGGGGGGCGAGCGUUGUUCGGAAUUACUGGGCGUAAAGGGCGUGUAGGCGGCCCACUAAGUCAGACGUGAAAUCCCUCGGCUCAACCGGGGAACUGCGUCUGAUACUGGAGGGCUUGAAUUCGGGAGAGGGAUGCGGAAUUCCAGGUGUAGCGGUGAAAUGCGUAGAUAUCUGGAGGAACACCGGUGGCGAAGGCGGCAUCCUGGACCGAUAUUGACGCUUAAGCGCGAAAGCCAGGGGAGCAAACGGGAUUAGAUACCCCGGUAGU